UUAGUUUUUUAAUUGAAGGCUAGAAUGAAUGGUUGGACAAGAAAUAAUCUGUCUUAGUUGAAUAUAUUGAAUUUAACUUUUAAGUGAAAAGGCUUAAAUAAACUGGAGGGACGAUAAGACCCUAUAAAACUUUAUAUUCAAAAAUAGUAAAUAAUUUUAUUUAAGGUGUGUUAUUUAAGAAUAUUUAGUUGGGGUGACUACGAUAAAAUGAAAAAUAACUGUCUUUUUUUUUUCACAAUGAUUUUUGGUUUAAUGAUCCUAGAAAUGGAUUAAAGAUUAAGUUACUUUAGGGAUAACAGCGUAAUUUUCUUUAAGAGUUCUUAUCGACAAGAAAGUUUGCGACCUCGAUGUUGAAUUAAAAGUUCUUUAUAGAGUAGAGACUAUAAUAGAAGGUCUGUUC
rnacentral:rRNA from 1 species